GAUUAAAUGACUGAUAAUAGGUAGUAAACUGUAAAUUUAUUUAUAAGAUGAGAAUCUUUUUAAUCA
rnacentral:tRNA from 1 species